UUCAGGAGAUACAGUACCCGCCGUAUCGGCUAGAAAGGAAGUAGAAACUCAACUAGUCACAGGUAUAACGGUUAGAAAGACACUAGAGUAUGUGAAUCUCAGGUGUACGUGUGGCAUUUUUGUAGUUCAUCUCGUCGGCAAUGGUGGAGAACAACGUAACUGCGAAGUCCACGUUCAUGACUCUGUACUGAGAGAGGAAUACGCAAAAGAACGCCCAUCUCACAUUGACUGCGGUGACAAAUUCUACGACAUCUGCGGAAAGAACGCGACGAAUAUUGUGCAAUUUCGGGCACAGUGCCCUAAUGUUCUCAUCGUAAAACAAGGUUAAAGUGCAGCGCUUGGCACAUGAAAUAUGAUGCCGCAAGCUGUAACUGAACACGAAGAA